GGAAUUUUGCUCAGUGCUAUUAUCUGUUCCUUGAGCUCCUCUAGGAGGGUGCCUGGGAGCACAUAGCAGCUAUGAAUGCUAGUGUUGUCAUCCUAAGGACUGCAGUGCUGUGAGGAGAGCAUCUAAUUUGUAGCGCAAGCAGACAAUAGCAGCCUUGUAGAAGAUGAACAGAAAAAUAAGCUUUGUGUAAUUUGCUAAAUCUGAGUACUUCCUUUGCUGUAUCUUUGCAGAGGAAGACUUGCUUUGUUAUAGGUCCCACUGCAGGGCAAAGAGGCUGGGAGCUGUGGUUGCCUGACUGAGAAGGGGAAGGAGCAUGUCUGCUCUUUCUUGCUUGAAAAUUAAUCUGUUAGAGGAGUUAAUAGCAGUAAAGAAGAUGAGAAAGCAAAGUGUUUAUGUGUCUUAAGAGAUCUUUAGCUGUGGUCUGAUGCCUCAAGGAAUCAGGCAUCUCAGUAUUGUUUGCGGCCACAAAGUCUAUGGUUUGUGGUGAAAACAACAUCUGUCUCUUAAAAUUUCAGAUUUCCUCAUUUCAUCUUCUUUCACACCAUCUGCAUUGUAGCUCUGUUACAGUUCAAGAUGGAUGUAGGCAAUGCUGUUGAUAAGCACUUGCUUAUCAUCAUUUCUGCGAUCUGGUCUCUGUUUGGAGCAGUUGGAAACACCACCCAAAUGGUCAGCUUGCAAGGCUGGAGCACACUUAGAAUGAGCAUCACUUGUUUGCAGAAACCCACAAGUUAAGUAAGCUGCCAGACUGUUUUGGCAAAGGGAAAAAAGUCACAAUCGUUGCUCAAACGUGGUAUCUCUUGGGCCAUUGGUAUUAUUGCAAAUAUUAUACUGAAUAACAAAUUACAAAGCAAGAAUAAAUGUCACCAGAGCAGAAGAGUGCUGUCCUUAUGGUGAAUGGUUUUUGGCAGAAUGGUUUGUUACCCAGGAUUCCUCUGCUCCAAGGAAUUGAAAUGGGACUAAAUGUCGAGCUGUGUUUGCAGGGUGGUCUCUUGGCUGCUAACAUUUCUAUCAGCUCCAGGUGACUGAAAGGAAAUUCAAGCAGAAGCAUGUUGUCACAGGGGCUGUAGUGAUAAAGA